rfam:Apaloderma vittatum contig45113, whole genome shotgun sequence.
AAGCAGUGAUGAGUGAAGUUUGCUCUGAACUGGUAUUGCUGAGGCUUCGUGUCUUUGCUCUGACCAGGGCAUGAUCACGUAAUCUUCUCUCUGAGCUU